AGAAGCAAGCUGGACCUAAAAGGGGUUAAUUCUCAUUUGUGGUCUAUAUUACAAGAUGGUCAGAUAGUGUUGAAGAUGCAGCCUAGGACCAGAGGUCAGCAUUAGCAUUUCCAUCAGUGCCCUCCUCAGUUAACAGGUGUUAAUUGCAGAGGAAAAAGCUGAAAUCCCAGAAAAGCCUUUCUAAUAAAACGGGCACAGGAGCAAGAAGCAAAAGGGCCCUACAGGUGCUUUGUCUGCAAGUUGACAUGGAAUACAUCCUACCCUUGGUCAAACCUGCCCAACGACUAUCACACCCCUGAGGAGACCUCAGUCACAGGGGACAGAGUCUGACUAUGUAUCCAUCACUUCCACACUAGCAAAUUUUCCAAGAAACAGUCCCUUUCCUAAUCUCUUGAGUGGUGAAUCCCCAGCAAGAUAAAGCAAAAACUCACCAAUGAGGGCCAAGGGACCCAAGAAUAAAAUCCAAGGUUCCAAUAAGAAGAAAGUGAGGAUUAUGGCCAGAAAGCAGCAGAAAGUGGUAGAAGGAUGAUGUUGAAAACCACAGCCUACAGAGCACAGCUAAGUGGAAGAGGAUAAGGCAGACCUUUCCCAUGAUACCCUGACACAUCAGAGAGAUUUGACGAUUGCUCUAAACAUAUAGCAAUAAAGCCAGAAGCUUCUCUGGUUAUAUAACACAACACUGACAAAAGUCUUCAACCACAGAAAGGAAGUCCUUGAAGGGGAAGGGGAAAGGGAGAGGGGAUCCAUGCUGAGGUGACCUCUGAUAUACUCUGAGACCAGCCAUCAUCUUCAUAAUAAUAACUCUUUGUACAUUUUUCCCAUCAGUCUUAGGUCAUUGUCCCCAAAGCACUAUACCUCUCCUGAAUCUAGCCACUUCCAUUCACUCUGUUGAAUGGUCCCUUCCACCCAUUCAUGACCACUUGGCCAAUUGUAGCAGCUCAAGUCUGGAGCAUUCAAUUAGAUUAAAUUCAAUUCAAACAUGAAAUAAA